rnacentral:rRNA from 1 species
GACGAACGCUGGCGGCGUGCUUAACACAUGCAAGUCGAGCGGUAAGGCCCUUUCGGGGGUACACGAGCGGCGAACGGGUGAGUAACACGUGGGUGACCUGCCCUCAGCUCUGGGAUAAGCCUGGGAAACCGGGUCUAAUACUGGAUAUGACUCCAUGACGCAUGUUGUGGGGUGGAAAGCCUUGUGCGGCUGAGGAUGGGCCCGCGGCCUAUCAGCUUGUUGGUGGGGUGANGGCCUACCAAGGCGACGACGGGUAGCCGGCCUGAGAGGGCGACCGGCCACACUGGGACUGAGACACGGUCCGGACUCCUACGGGAGGCAGCAGUGGGGAAUAUUGGACAAUGGGCGAACGCCUGAUCCAGCGACGCCGCGUGGGUGAAGAAGGCCUGCGGGUUGUAAAGCCUUUCAGUGGGGAAGAAAGCCUCGACCUAACACGUCGGGUCUUGACGUAACCCAUAGAAGAAGCACCGGCUAACUCUGUGCCAGCA